CCCUUAGAUGCUCUGGGCCGCACGCGCGCUACACUGGUCGAUGCAACGAGUUUCUUUCCUUGGCCGACAGGCCUGGGCAAUCUUUGAACAUCGAUCGUGAUCGGGAUAGAUUCUUGUAAUUUUUGAUCUUAAACGAGGAAUUCCUAGUAAACGCAAGUCAUCAGCUUGCAUUGAUUACGACCCUGCCCUUUGUACACACCGCCCGUCGCACCUACCGAUUGAAUGGUCCGGUGAAAUCUCCGGACUGGCGUGAGUCGGAGCAAUCUGACAAACACCGGAAAGUUGAUUAAAUCUUACCAUUUAGAGGAAGGUGAAGUCGUAACA
rnacentral:rRNA from 1 species